rnacentral:lncRNA from 1 species
ACUAGCCUGGAAUCUCUAAAACUCGCUCUAUCUACGGCACUAAGGCUGGUUCCCAGACCUGCCUGCUAACCGCUCAAACCUGAACAAGAACUCACUCUAACAACCCCUCCUAAACACCCUACGAGCCUGACAGCUGACAGCGAACUUCUAGGCAUUCUACUGGGUCCCCUCUGACACCUACCUUAGAUCCAUCCUGAACUCCGGACUACCGUGCGCUGCAGACGCAGGUAACCCCAGCAUCAGAAAGAGAAAACCAAACCAUCCCCCGAAUGACAUCCAGACACUCAAGUCUCGAACCGUCAAGUCGAGUGGCUGGCAUCUACUCUCAAGGACACUGGACUGAACCUUUGCUAAAGAUGAAUCCUACCCGGGUCUAACUAACCCAAAGAGGACACGCUAAGCCGAGAAGCUAUCAACUCAACUGCUCAAAGCUCCUAGAGCAACUAACGCAGAGCACACACGAGAGCUCACAAAACAACAGAACAGGAACAAGUGAGCAUACCUGGCAUCACUGUGUCCGCUGUGUCUGCUCCUCUACGUCCCUGGUGACUGGCCUGACCUACCUUCCUGGUAGCGAACCGCUGGGCUUGUACCACCCUGGGCGAAGUAGGACAGUCACGCGCAAAGUGCCCUUCUUGUCCACACGUGAAACAUGCUGUUGUCCGUGCAAGACACACUCCCUUAUGCGGCCUUCCACAGCUCACACAUUUGACUCUCCCUCUACCAGAACUUGAACCAACACCAUACCCCAGACUAGCCUUUCGUCCCUGCCACAACCUGUCUUUCUUCGCCUUUCGACGGCCUCUACCCUUCUUUUGCUCUCGUUUUGCAGCUGUGCUCAGAAUGGAGGGCUCAACUUCUCCUGAACUUGAGGUCUGAGAAUCCUUCGUCUGCACAACAUCUUCCGAGUUGCCCAUCCUUUCUUCAUCCAUAUUCACUUGCACACCUACAUCCCUCCUUCGCACAUCCAUCCUCUCUUCUCGCUUGCUGUCUCCGGACACUCUUCCUUGCUCCAUUCCUUCUUUGUUUCCCUCUCGCGACAUCGCAGGGUUCCUUGAGGCUUCCUUACUGCCAACUCCUCCUGACUGCACCCCUGGCAGAACGGGAGAAAAGGUGUCCGUACCUUCCCACUCAGAUGGAUCUGACUCCACAAACUGACUCGCACUUUGCNNNN